rnacentral:rRNA from 1 species
UGGAGAAAAAAUGUAAAAAGUUUUCGUGGUGGAACAGCGGAGGGAUCAUUACCGAGUUUUCAACUCCCCAAACCCCCUGUGAACAUACCCUAUUGAUUGCUUCGGCGGGAUCGUCCCGGCGCCCCCCCCCGCGGGGGCCCGGACCCAGGCGCCCGCCGGGGGACCCAAACUCCUGUUCUCUUGGGAUGCAUCUUCUGAGUGAUACAAGCAAAAAAUGAAUCAAAACUUUCAACAACGGAUUCUCUUGGCUCUGGCAUCGAUGAAGAACGCAGCGAAAUGCGAUAAGUAAUGUGAAUUGCAGAAUCCAGUGAAUCAUCGAAUCUUUGAACGCACAUUGCGCCCGCCAGUACUCUGGCGGGCAUGCCUGUCCGAGCGUCAUUUCAACCCUCGAGCCCCCCGGGCUUGGUGCUGGGGAUCGGCCGUCACUGGCCGGCCCCGAAAUCGAGUGGCGGUCUCGCCGUAGCCUCCCCUGCGUAGUAGCAACACCUCGCACUGGAGCGCGGCGCGGCCACGCCGUGAAACCCCCCCCGACUUCUGAAAGGUUGACCUCGGAUCAGGUAGGAAUACCCGCUGAACUUAAGCAUAUCAAUAAGCGGAGGAAAAGAAACCAACAGGGAUUGCCCCAGUAACGGCGAGUGAAGCGGCAACAGCUCAAAUUUGAAAUCUGGCCCCCGGCCCGAGUUGUAAUUUGCAGAGGAUGCUUUUGGCGAGGUGCCUUCCGAGUUCCCUGGAACGGGACGCCAUAGAGGGUGAGAGCCCCGUCUGGUCGGACACCGAGCCUCUGUAAAGCUCCUUCGACGAGUCGAGUAGUUUGGGAAUGCUGCUCUAAAUGGRAGGUAUAUGUCUUCUAAAGCUAAAUACCGGGCCAGAGACCGAUAGCGCACAAGUAGAGUGAUCGAAAGAUGAAAAGCACUUUGAAAAGAGGGUUAAACAGUACGUGAAAUUGUUGAAAGGGAAGCGCUUGUGACCAGACUUGGGCCUCGGUCAAUCAUCCAGUGUUCCUCACUGGUGCACUUGGGCCGCGCCCAGGGCCAGCAUCAGUUCGGCGCGGGGGACAAAGGCGGCGGGAACGUGGCUCCCCCGGGAGUGUUAUAGCCCGCCGCGCAAUACCCUGCGCCGGACUGAGGUUCCGCGCUCGCAAGAUGGUGAUCAAUGUUUUACCACCUUUUUAAAACGACCAAAAAAA